UGCUUUGCACAGUGGCAGGCUCGUUGCCAGUGAGGUUUAUCCGAGGCCUGAUUAUUGCUAAUUGGAAUCGAACUCUUGAUUUUGGCUCAAAUCGUGAUCUCAGGGUCGUGGAAUCAAGCCCUGCCUCGGG
rnacentral:snRNA from 3 species